GACGAACGCUGGCGGCGUGCUUAACACAUGCAAGUCGAACGGAAAGGCCCUGCUUUUGUGGGGUGCUCGAGUGGCGAACGGGUGAGUAACACGUGAGUAACCUGCCCUUGACUUUGGGAUAACUUCAGGAAACUGGGGCUAAUACUGGAUAGGAGCUCCUGCUGCAUGGUGGGGGUUGGAAAGUUUCGGCGGUUGGGGAUGGACGCGCGGCUUAUCAGCUUGUUGGUGGGGUAGUGGCUUACCAAGGCUUUGACGGGUAGCCGGCCUGAGAGGGUGACCGGCCACAUUGGGACUGAGAUACGGCCCAGACUGCUACGGGAGGCAGCAGUGGGGAAUAUUGCACAAUGGGCGGAAGCCUGAUGCAGCAACGCCGCGUGCGGGAUGACGGCCUUCGGGUUGUAAACCGCUUGCGCCUGUGACGAAGCGUGAGUGACGGUAAUGGGUAAAGAAGCACCGGCUAACUACGUG
rnacentral:rRNA from 1 species